GUCAGGGUGGCUGAGUGGUAUAAGGCACCAGAGUCAAGGCCCUGCUUUCCCUGCUGUGGGAAUUCUGGUUUCCAAAUGGAGGUGUGGGCUCAAAUCCUACUUUUGACA
rnacentral:tRNA from 1 species